GACAGAGGUCCCGAGCGUUAGGCGGAAUCACUGGGCUUAAAGCGUGUGUAGGCGGAUUUGUAAGUACCUUGUGAAAUCCCACGGCUCAACCGUGGAACUGCUUGGUAUACUGCUUAUCUUGAGCCACCUAGGGGCAACCGGAACAAGCGGUGGAGCGGUGAAAUGCGUAGAUAUCGAGAGGAACACCUGCGGCGAAGGCGGGUUGCUGGGCUGACACUGACGCUGAAGCGCGAAAGCUAGGGGAGCGAACGGG
rnacentral:rRNA from 1 species